AGUGACUUGAUCAAGAAGUUAUGAAGCACAGAUUAGAUCAAGAUCAAUCAAUAGAGUUCAUUAAUAAUGAAUUUGAAAGAUUCUUGAUAUGAUCAAAUGAGGUUGACAUACAGCACGGAUAUCAAAGCAACUUCGGAUCAUCUUGUUAGAGUCAAUAUGAACCCCUAAAAGAUGAAGGCAUAACUCGAUAUAGGAUUCAUAGACCUUCUUAGAGAGAGAAAGUCGG
rnacentral:lncRNA from 1 species